AUUGUUCUAUUGUCCAAUACCCGCCGUAGAAAGAGCAAAACCCUAAAACCUCAAAAACCCUAGUACUACUUCUUUUCCGCCCAACCCUUUAUAAAUUCAACCUAUUCCUCAUCUCAACAUACAUCGCAGCCAAGGCACCCCUGCCCGCCAUCUCUUACUUUUUUUAAAAAAUAAAAAUUCAAUCAAUCCCCAGUGUUUUUCAUUGUAGGGUAUUUUUAAUGUCAAAUCUUUUCAAUUGUGGGUGUUUCUUUUUGUUUUUUUUUGGUAAAUGAAGCAAGAUUGAGUUUUUUUCAUUGUGGGGUUGAUCUGUGAUGAUGAAUUGAUAAGGCUUGUUUCUCAAAACAUUCGCAGUGGCCGCCUAAGUGCUUUCGCCUUCGCCAGGCUUGAGAGUAUAUGCUGCUUCUAUCCUUCCUUGGAUGUCUGAGAUCCCACCAUAUCUUCCCCUUUUUUUCUUCUUUAACUUAUUUUUCUUGGACCUUUAAUUUGCUUAUUCAUUUUUGGUUAAUUCUUCUGUUAUAAUCUUAAUUAUAUGGUGUCUAUUGGAAACAGCCUUCAUGUACUAACACAAGUUUUGGGUAUGGUCUGCGCACUCAUAAUCCUCCCAAGAACCCCCUCUUUGGAUUAUAUUUGGUAUGAUGUAAAUAUAUGGUGUCUAUGAUGAUAAAUUUUAAGGCUUGUUUCUCAAACAUUCGCAGUGGCCGCAUAAGAACUUUCGCCUUCGCCAGGUGACAAGCCGGAGAUAUCUGGAAUUGUGUUGCUCAAUUGAUGAUCAAAGAAGAAUAUUGUAAAACUUAUUGUGAGGGCUAUGAUUAAAAAGAGAGAGGAUAGAGUGAAGAAUUUCUCAUCUUUGCAUGGGUUCGGUAGAUGAAGAUGCAUAGUAACGUGUUUCUGCUAUUGUUGCCCGUUUCUUUCAAAGUAGUUGGUGGCUUUAAUUAUUAACCUUAUUGUGCAUCUUUGUUCUAUUCAUUUGAUCCCAUUCAACAUGAGUUUUCUUCACAAUGAACCUUCUAUAAAUACACUUGAUAUGAGCCCCUUCACUUCCAUGAAACAAGCACAAUUAUAACCAAGCUGUAUUUGAUAAAUUUUUAUGCAUUGUUGGUUACAAUAUAAUUCGAGUCAAUUUAUUUAGUUUAGUAAUGAUUUUAACCAA